rnacentral:rRNA from 1 species
CAAUAGCGUAUAUUUAAGUUGUUGCAGUUAAGAAGCUCGUAGUUGGAUUUCGGGUGGGACGCAGCGGUCUCGCAUUGCGUUUGUACUGCUGCAGCCCUCCUUCUUGCCGGGGGCGGCCUCUCGGACUUCACUGUCUGGGGGUCAGAAUCGGCGAUGUUACUUUGAGUAAAUUAGAGUGUUCAAAGCAAGCUUACGCUCUGAAUAUAAUAGCAUGGGAUAACACGACAGGACUCUGGCCUAUCGUGUUGGUCUAUAGGACCAGAGUAAUGAUUAAGAGGGACAGUCGGGGGCAUUCGUAUUCCGUUGUCAGAGGUGAAAUUCUUGGAUUUACGGAAGACGAACAUCUGCGAAAGCAUUUGCCAAGGAUGUUUUCAUUG